rnacentral:tRNA from 1 species
GCCCGGGUAGCUCAGCCGGUAGAGCAGCGCACUCGUAAUGCGCAGGUCAGGAGUUCGAGUCUCCUCCCGGGCUCCA